UCAACUUGGAGCUAUUGCAGGAGUGGAUAAAACCCAUACUGAGUCUGACACCUGUACUCCAGCCUGAACUCAAAGGUCCAAAGCAAAUCCUCGUCCAUCGUCCAGCCAACCUUUACUGGAGAUACCCUCCCAGCUUGAAGGUGUAAUUUACCAUGACACACCGGUUGGAGCCUGAAGCAGCUGGUUGGUCACAUGGUGUCCAUGGUCAAGAAGAGAAUAAUGUAUGCUGGUGCCCAGCUAACUUUCUUCUUUUGAUGUAGUCCAGGAUCCAAACAGAGUUUUAGAGUGAUUCUUCUC